rnacentral:rRNA from 1 species
GUGCCAGCAGCCGCGGUAAAACGUAGGAGGCGAGCGUUAUCCGGAUUUACUGGGUGUAAAGCGCGUGCAGGCGGUUGGAUAAGUUGGGUGUGAAAGCUCCUGGCUCAACUGGGAGAGGUCGCUCAAGACUGUCCGACUGGAGCGUGGUAGGGGAAGGCGGAAUUCCGGGUGUAGUGGUGAAAUGCGUAGAUAUCCGGAGGAACACCAGUGGCGAAAGCGGCCUUCUGGACCACGACUGACGCUCAGACGCGAAAGCUAGGGGAGCAAACGGGAUUAGAUACCCGCGUAGUCC